rnacentral:other from 6 species
UCGAUAAUGAAUUAAUAAGUUGCGUUAUUUAAUUUCCAACGUGACUUACUUAGCCGAAUUGCUGUGUGUAGUCUUUGCCUGUCAGCCCAUGAUAGGCUUUUUUUUUA